UACGGAGGGUGCAAGCGUUGUCCGGAUUUAUUGGGUUUAAAGGGUGCGCAGGCGGACUAUUAAGUCAGUGGUGAAAUUUUGCGGCUUAACCGUAAAACUGCCAUUGAUACUGGUAGUCUUGAGUUCAGUUGAGGUGGUUGGAAUGCGUAGUGUAGCGGUGAAAUGCAUAGAUAUUACGCAGAACACCAAUUGCGAAGGCAGAUCACUAAACUGAAACUGACGCUGAGGCACGAAAGCGUGGGGAGCGAACAGG
rnacentral:rRNA from 1 species